ensembl:antisense Gm15179 predicted gene 15179
AGUCUCACUAGGCUGGUUGGAGAGGAAGAGGAAAGGUCCAGAGAUGAGAGGCACAUGGAGAGACAGGCCCCAGUGGAGGUGAGCAGACCGGACCAAUGGCCUCUCCCAGCACCUCCGUAACAGCUGGAACAUUCAAAGCAGUUCCAUCACCCUAAAUAUUCACGUGUGCAUCCUCUUUGGAGUCAGCCACACCUUGUCUACCAGUCCCUGGCAACCGCCAAUGAUGAAUUGAAUUCUACAAUGACAGUGAGGCUAUGUGUCCCCCUCCCGCCGACCUAUGUGUCCUUUUGCCCUGUGUGGAGCGGAUGAGUACACACGAUUCACUCAGGGAGAAGGAGAAACAGCGGGACUCUAGAAACUUCUUUCAGACCCCUGCUACUGCAGCCUUAUCCACCAAGGCCACGCCCUCAGCGCUGGGGUUUCUCGGAGCAUUCAGCGCACGUGUUCAAAGGUAGGCAGUUUCAAAGGGCCUCAUUAGGAAGCAGAGGCUGGCUUUGAACCUGAAGUCUUCUGGUCCCAACCUCUUGAGCCCCUGUUAGGAUUACAGGCAGCACACCGGCCCUGGCUCCCUCUGGUAUUUUAAUUGAGACUAAAUUCCAUUGGAACUGCUUAUGGAUAGAGGGUGGCUUGACAUUCUCUUAAGAGUGCCGAGCUGUUUUUCACCCAAGUAAAAAGUCUUGUCUUUGC